AUCCCCUUAGCUCAGCCAGUAAGAGCACUGCUACAAGGAAAGCAGAGGACGCCGGUUCAAAUCCGGCAGGGGUUA
rnacentral:tRNA from 1 species